rnacentral:lncRNA from 1 species
UGUCCCCAGCCGGGCUCGGUGUCCCUCGGCCGGGUCACCGCGGGCUCGGUGUCCUCCCUGCGGGGGUGACAGCGCUGUCACCGCGCCACACGUCCCCUCUCCAGCCGCUGCCCUCCCCGUGUUCCUCUGUGGGGACAUCGGUGCUGCCGGGGACAUCCAGGGAACGGACAUCCGGGAAAGGGAAGGGAAAUCCGGGAAAGGAAAAUCCGGGAAAGGAAAAUCCGGGAAAGGGAAAUCCGGGAAAGGAAAAUCCGGGAAAGGAAAAUCCACGAAAGGAAGGGAAAAUCCAGGAAAGGAAAAUCCAGGAAAGGAAAGGGAAAUCCAGGAAAGGAAAGGGAAAUCCAGGAGAGGGAGAUCCAGGAAAGGAAAGGGAAAUCCAGGAAAGGAAAGGAAAAUUCAGGAAAGGAAAGGGAAAUCCAGGAAAGGAAAGGGAAAUACGGGAAAGGAAAGGGAAAUCUGGGAAAGGAAAAUCCAGGAAAGGAAAAUCCAGUAAAGGAAAAUCCGGGAAAGGAAAGGGAAAUCCGGGAAAGGAAAAUCCAGGAAAGGAAAGGGAAAUCUGGGAAAGGAAAAUCCAGGAAAGGAAAGGGAAAUCGGGGAAAGGAAAGGGCAAUCCGGGAAAGGAAAAAAAAGUCUGGGAAAGGAAAGGAAAAAAAAAUCCAGGUAGGGACAGGAAAGGAAAGGAAAGGAAAGGAAAGGAAAGGAAAGGAAAGGAAAGGAAAGGAAAGGAAAGGAAAGGAAAGGAAAGGAAAGGAAAGGAAAGGAAAGGAAAGGAAAGGAAAGGAAAGGAAAGGAAAGGAAAGGAAAGGAAAGGAAAGGAAAGGAAAGGAAAGGAAAGGAAAGGAUGCCCAUGGAAUGGAGCUUUUCCAGGUGAAACAAUGCCCAGGACGGUGGCAGCGCCAUCAGCUGCUCUCCCUGAGGCACCAACCAGACGUGUUUUUCUCAUCCAGUGGUUCAAAGAAUUCCGGGAAAAGCUUUCGGGGAACUGGUUUCCCCAAAUCCCAGCUCUGAUGUGGGGAAAAACCCCGAAACACUUCAGUGGCCGUGGUGCUGCUGGGUCAAACGUUCAGUCUCUUCCAACCUUAAUAAUCCUAAAAUCCCUGCUUUGAGAACCAAGGAGUUUUUGGGAAGC